CCUACGGGUGGCUGCAGUGGGGAAUAUUGGACAAUGGGCGCAAGCCUGAUCCAGCAAUGCCGCGUGUGUGAAGAAGGCCUGCGGGUUGUAAAGCACUUUAAGCAGGAAAGAAGGGGUGAAAGUUAAUACCUUUCAUCAUUGACGUUACCUGCAGAAGAAGCACCGGCGAACUCCGUGCCAGCAGCCGCGGUAAUACGGAGGGUGCGAGCGGGCAUCGGGCGUACUGGGCGGAUAGCGCGCGUACGCGGUGAAAGCCCUGGGCUUAACCUGGGAACUGCGGUGGAUACUGUCGGGCUAGAGUGUGGUAGAGGGGAGUGGAAUUUCCGGUGUAGCAGUGAAAUGCGUAGAGAUCGGAAGGAACACCAGUGGCGAAGGCGGCUCCCUGGACUAACACUGACGCUGAGGUGCGAAAGCGUGGGGAGCGAACAGGAUUAGAUACCCGUGUAGUC
rnacentral:rRNA from 1 species